GUAUAACUGAAUCACUUUGCUAUAUACCUAAAACUAACAUGACAUUGUAAAUUAACUAUACUUCAAUAAAAUUUUUUUUAAGAUACUAAGUACAACACAUCAAAAGAAAAAAGAGUGAUAACCUCUCAGGGAUGAAAAGAGUGCAUCCAGGUCAAGACAAGUCGAGGCGAACCUUGAUCACACGUUGGCCCUCUUGUCAGUGAAAUUCAACCAUCCAGGAAGAAGGACUCAAAGGAAGCAAAACUACUGAAAGAGGUGACAGUGGUCUGUGGCAAGAGCACGCACAUCAGCAGUGAAAGGAAAAAGGAAAAACAAGUGAAAGGACACAGAAGCCCGAGGACCCCGAGCUCCCGCAUCUUGUGGGCGGACUGUGUACAGUGAGCCGUCAGGGAAUGCCGCCCACGGAAUGUCACAUCUUGCCCUCAGCAGGUCAGCCCCUUGUCUAUUUGCAAAAUUCUCAAUAAUUCCAUUAUCCAAUUACAGAAGGAAAUAAACAAUAUCGUCCAGAGGAAAUUAGUCAGACAUUUCCUGUUUUCCAGCUCAAUAAGAUCCAGGACUGUCAGCUGUAAAGUGAGGUGAACUUACUACAAAUGGAAGGAGUUGAACCACAGGCCUGAAGCAAGAUUUCUGAACACACCCUACAGAGCAGGUUAAACUACAAACGCCGAAGCAAGAAUAUGGGCCCCGUCCACCUCUCUUACUCUACGAGUCCUCUCCUCUGUGUAAACACCAGACUGCUUUAUACCCAUCAACGGAAAGC
rnacentral:lncRNA from 1 species